UACGGAGGGGGCAAGCGUUGUUCGGAAUUACUGGGCGUAAAGGGCGCGCAGGCGGCUGCUCAAGUCAGGCGUGAAAGGCCUGGGCUCAACCCGGGAAUUGCGCUUGAGACUGGGCUGGCUUGAGUGCGGGAGAGGAUGGUGGAAUUCCCAGUGUAGAGGUGAAAUUCGUAGAUAUUGGGAAGAACACCAGUGGCGAAGGCGGCUCUCUGGUCCGAUACUGACGCUGAGGUGCGAAAGCGUGGGGAGCAAACAGG
rnacentral:rRNA from 1 species